AUUGCUUCAGCACUGGGAGCCUUCCUGCUGGGAGAGAUGUGACUGACUGGGUUGCCAGAGAGGGUCCUCAAGUGCCAAAAUGCUAAGGGGAGUAUUUGCAUGGGAGCAAAGGCAUGCAGCUCCAUGUGCUGUGGGGGACAGCAAUGGUUUUGCUUGCUCCCUACUUGAAGGAUGUGUGUUGGGGAACAACCUUCCCUCUAGGUUGCUGGCUCUGCUGGCACCUGAGUUUGGCUAGGAGAUGUGGGGCUUGGCAGGAGGCAGGGUUGUCCCUGACACCUUCUUCACCAAGGCAUUCUUGGCACUUUGGUGAAAAGGAAGGGAUGAGGCUUCUGCCAAGGUCAACAGGCUGGGGAUGGCCAUCUUAUGAGUGCACAGGUCUCUGGGUUACUCCAGGGUAUCUUCUUUCUCUGUGACAGAGCAUCCCAGCAGCACCUGGGACUUUGACUCUUUUUUGUAAGCAGAUUUUGUCCAUUAGAGAAAAUCUGCUGAGAGGAACUGUCUCCGCUUGGCUUUCCCAUCCAGGCAACUGGCCAGGCAGCUGCUGGUGUGAUGUCUACGUAGCACCGCGCCAUGGAGACAGGGCAGGGGAUUCCUGAGGUAACAAGGCUGAAGCUCAAGAGUGGAACAGCGCUGGAUGGCCUAGAAACUGGGCAAACAUGGAGGCAGUCUCUGUUCCAGAAGAUGAGAAGAAGGAGAAGAAGACUUAGUUAAGUCCCAGCUGGCCCGUGACAUAGUGCACAGAGGGCCUUGCUGCAGCCUGCCUAGCACAGGCUUUAAGGAAGGUGUACAAAACAUCAUGUUGGCUGGUUACAUGGAACUCUGUGGCAGAAGCACCCUCAGGUAGUUUUCCUGGCUGACUUCAUCUCCUAGACCUGGUGGGACUGAAGGGCUUCCUCUGGGUUCCCAUGCUGCUGCCUCUGUGUGAGCAGCAGCUCUGCUGAUGGAAGCUGUGGACACAUGAGACCUUCAGCCCCCCUCCUUCUUGCCAAGGCAGUCUCUGCCAGUUCAGGUGCUGAGGCAGGCAGUGGACCUGCCCUCUUCUCAUUUCUCUUCUGGCAAGAUGCACGAGGAGCGAAGGAUGAACACCAAAGGCCAGACAGGGACAGUUCCUGAGUGCUGGCGAGAGUGCAGUCAGCUUCGAAAUGAGGUGUGAUGUUUGUAUGGCCGAGACAAAUCCUUUCAUUGCUUGGGAGAAAACUCUGUGAGCUCCACGGAGGCAGCCACCGGCAAUGGUUGUCGGACAGAAUAGCCUGGGCCAGGAGAGAUCACCAUGUUCUCCACAGGAGCAGCCCUGCUCCGCACUCACCUGCCUGGCCAUGUGUGGAUAUCUCCAGCCUCUGUGUGGAGCUGGGCCAUCCCCUGUGUCCGUGAUCACCUGCCUUCAUAGGGAAACACCAAGCUCCAUGCGGCACCACGCUCAGCAUCCAGGAGUCACCUCACAUGGCUGUUGCAUAGCUCACAAGUGGGCAAGAAAGACUCAGCUAGCUGCAGGGAUCCUAAUGCCGAUGAAGAAGGACCUCCUCACCAGGCAGCCUCCGUGAAGAGCGUGUUUCUGACCACCACUGCUGCCCAUAGCAAAGCAGUCCCAGUAUUGCUAGGGGUUUGCUUGGAGCUGAGGAAUGGGAUGGACUUUGCUUCAGUCCAGGUGUGGAGAUGCUGUUCCCCACCUGCCCAGGAAGCUUUUCUGAGAAGGCUCUGGGGUGACCUAAGGACAAGCCUCCUUUGCCACAGGCAAAAAUCAAGGAUCUACCUCAAAACUCUUUCCUUCCUCCACUCAGGAACAUCUCCCAGGCUCGUUUGUAGUGUCAGUGCUGCAAGGGUGAAAAGCAUCACGUGUCCCUCGAUGUACCUUUUGGGGGCCCCUCUUGCCAUCGCCACCCGAGAGGAGAGCAUGCCCUGCACUCCUCUCACCAUAGCCACAACGCCUGUUUCCAAAACCUCAGUUUGUAUGAAGCACCCUAAGUCUCCCGUACACUUGGCUAAUGUGCUGUGCCCCAUGCUGCUAACCUGCAGGCAGCUGCCCAGGCUGUCAGCACAUCGCAUGCAGCCCUUCUUCCUGGCGAGAGUCUGGGGCAAGACAAAGCCCUGGACCUGUGACUGUGCUGAAAGCACCACCUCACCUCUGUCAGGAGAAUAAUGUAAAUACUGCGCAGCAGGUUAAAAAAACACCUGCGAGUGAUUAUUAACUGGUAAUGUUUUCCCAGAGAGCAGCAAAUCCGUCAGCCUGGGGUUUAUCAUUGAAAACAGUUUUUAUUUUAAAAACAAACAAAUAAACUGGUAAAAGUCUCCUAGUAACAGGUGCUGCCCGCAUGCUAAGCCCAACACUACAGCCCAUAAUUCACAGUUGCCUGUUUAUUCUCUCUGCUAUUUAUAGCUGGUCAAAUCUCUCCAUCCCAGCCUGUGUUUCCUACUUGCUGUAUCUUUGUAAUUAAUGUAUUU